rnacentral:tRNA from 2 species
UCCCUGGUGGCUCAGAGGUUAAAGUGUCUGCCUCCAAUGCAGGAGACCCAGGUUCAAUUCCUGGGUUGGGAA